AAGAUUUGUACAUUUCACUGUAUGUUAGUUUUAACUCAAUUAAAAAAAAAAAAAAGCUCAGCAGAGAAGCUUUUAAGCCUCAUCUUGCCUUUUCUUCCGGGCACCUCUUAUGUAACUCUGAGUAUGGAUUUCAUGAGAAAAGGAUGGCAGAAUAAAGAGAUAAGAGUGUUUUUUUCCAGUGGUGUAUCAGGCUGAAUCUGAAUAUGAUUUUGGAGACAUCACUGGAGGUCAAGUGUGAAACUUGGAAUGAAAUCUUAACUGUAAACAACCUUCCUGUUGGGAUUUGCCACCUUCCAUACCCACCUCUCCACACAUCAGCAAGGAUACUUUGGAGACAGGUGAGGGAAGGCUAAAGAAGGAUGAAUGUUUGAAAUUCAAGAUCACCAUGUUGUAAAUCUUUGGGGGUGAAGACUUAAAUAAUCUAUGGUUUCUCUGGUUGGAAAGAUGGGUGAAUUUUCCAGAAGACGGAGAAUUUUUACAGGUCACUGAUACAAUGCAAAGUUGCCUCCUGAUAAUUAACAGGGAAAGAGAAACAUAGAAAGCCGCUAGGAGACUUCUCCAUUCUGUGCCUGUCUUCCCUGUGGAACUCGGCCAUGGCUUCUACAUCCCAUUUGUCCUCUGGAGAGCCUCGUGUUGGAAUGUGUCCUGCUGGAGGAACAAGUGCCAGUGUGUCCAUCUGAAGACCUAUUUCCAACCCCUCUCCUCGUGAUUAAACAAAUAUACUGAUGUUUUCAGCCUUGUUUCCCUCCCCUAAGAUUAUGUUCAAAAAGAAACCUUCAAUGAACACUGUAUUAGUUUCUUAUUCCUGCUGAAACAAAUUACCUCAAAUUUCAUGGCUUAAAACAACAGAGAUCUAUUAUCUCUCAUGCUUCUGAAGGUCAAAAGUUCAAAAUGGUUCUCACUAGACUAAAGUCAAGGUGUUGGCAGGGUUGUGUUCUUUCCUGGAGGUUGUGGGGACAUCUGUUUUCUUGCCUUUCCCAGUUUCUUGGGGUCUCCUACCUCCCCCAUCCAUCUUGAAAGCCAGCAAUGGCCUGUCUAGUCUUUCUUACAUUGAAUCCCUUUGACACUGACAUGCCUGCCUCUCCCACAUUUAAGGCCCCUCAUGAUUACAUUGGGCCCACCCUGCAUAAUCCAGGAUAGUCUCCCAGGUCAAAAUUCUUGACUUAAUCACAGCUGCUAAAUCCCUUUUGGCACGUGACGUAACAUGUUCACAGGUAUGGGGAUUAGGACGUAGGCCUCCUUCUGGUGGGGUACAUUAUUCUGUUUACCACAAUUACUUUAACUCAAAAGAGUGGAUAAUGUUUGAAAUGGGACAGAAUCAUGAGGGAGAUACUGUUUUCCUUUUGCUAGUUCUCAAUCAUGCUAGUUUUACUACUUCAGCUGUUCUAGUAUAAAAUACCUGUCAGGAGUAAAAUUGCUAUUCUUACAUGCCUUUUUUUAGGG